rnacentral:rRNA from 1 species
CCUUUGUACACACCGCCCGUCGCUACUACCGAUUGAAUGGCUAAGUGAGGCUUUCGGACUGGCCUAGGGAGAGCGGCAACGUUCACCCAGGGCCGGAAAGUUGUCCAAACUUGGUCAUUUAGAGG